CCCGCCGCCGCCAUCUUUGUUGGGGGCAGCCGGGCCUGGCUCGAGAUGCCGAAGUCGUGCGCGGCCCGACAGUGCUGCAACCGCUACAGCAGCCGCAGGAAGCAGCUCACUUUCCACCGGCAAACCUUACUGCAUGGCUUUCAAAAUACAUCCAAAUCUGCCCUCUCAUUACCACUUCUGCCAACGCCUGGUCCCACAGCAGCCAGGGUGGACUCAGGUUCCAUCUCACCUCUGUCUAGAGCCUCCAGGGACUCCCCCAGCUGCUCAGGGCCCUGCGUCAUGCAGUCCCCACUCCCUCUUGCUGUCUCAGCUGGACCUGCGUGAGUGGCCGUUCCUGCUGUCCCUUCUGAAGCCUGCGUCGCUUGUGCUGCCACUUCCUGCGGUCUGUGCUCAAACAUCACCCCUUCAGCUGACUCUCCUCACCACCCCAGGGCUUCCCUCUGUCUGUUCUCUGGAGCAGCUGUCAUCCCCAGAAGACACCGUCCACAUCUGUGUGGCUCAUCGCUGUGCCCCCGCUCCAGAAUAUCAUUACCCCCCAUCCCUAGCACGAAGAAGAGGGCCCGGCUCCUGGUAGGCUCCUGGCAAAUGUAGCAUCAGAAACAGCUCACUUGGGCUCUCUGGCCAUGCUCGUGGUCUCGGGUUUCCUAUUAAGAGUGCUUCAACAGCUGUGACAGAAGCUUCCAGAAAUUAGAUGUGAUUUAACAAACUGAGAGGACUAAACGUCCACAGCUGUCCAGGGAAGUACUCUGCAGUGAUGUGAAAAUUCCGAAUGACUCUGAGGCGCUGGGUCCAGCUUUGCUGGGCCUCAUACCCCCUGCCUCUGCCCUUAGGUUUCCGUUCAGCCGCCCGGA
rnacentral:sRNA from 1 species